rnacentral:rRNA from 1 species
GACGAACGCUGGCGGCGUGCUUAACACAUGCAAGUCGAACGGAAAGGCCCUGCUUGCUGGGUGCUCGAGUGGCGAACGGGUGAGUAACACGUGGGUGAUCUGCCCCUUACUUUGGGAUAAGCCUGGGAAACUGGGUCUAAUACUGGAUAGGACCAUGCUGUAGGUGGUGUGGUGGAAAGAUUAGUUUCGGUAAGGGAUGAGCUCGCGGCCUAUCAGCUUGUUGGUGGGGUAAUGGCCUACCAAGGCGUCGACGGGUAGCCGGCCUGAGAGGGUGGACGGCCACAUUGGGACUGAGAUACGGCCCAGACUCCUACGGGAGGCAGCAGUGGGGAAUAUUGCACAAUGGGCGCAAGCCUGAUGCAGCGACGCCGCGUGGGGGAUGACGGCCUUCGGGUUGUAAACUCCUUUCAGCCAUGACGAAGCCCUUGUGGUGACGGUAGUGGUAGAAGAAGCUCCGGCUAACUACGUG